CUGCUGCCUCCCGUAGGAGUUUGGUCCGUGUCUCAGUACCAAUGUGGGGGGUUGACCUCUCAGUCCCCUUAUGUAUCGUCGCCUUGGUGAGCCGUUACCUCACCAACUAGCUAAUACAACGCAUGUCCAUCUCUGACCACCUGAGUUUUCAACCACCGAAGAUGCCUCCGGUGAUGUUAUGGGGUAUUAGUACCAAUUUCUCGAUGUUAUCCCCCUGUCAAAGGUAGGUUACAUACGCGUUACGCACCCGUCCGCCGGUCGCCGG
rnacentral:rRNA from 1 species